GAGUUUGAUCCUGGCUCAGGAUGAACGCUGGCGGCGUGCCUAACACAUGCAAGUCGAGCGAAGCGCUUAAGUCAGAAUCUUCGGAGGAAGGCUUUUGUGACUGAGCGGCGGACGGGUGAGUAACGCGUGGGUAACCUGCCUUACACAGGGGGAUAACAGUUAGAAAUGACUGCUAAUACCGCAUAAGACCACAGUACUGCAUGGUACAGUGGUAAAAACUGAGGUGGUGUAAGAUGGACCCGCGUCUGAUUAGGUAGUUGGUGGGGUAACGGCUCACCAAGCCGACGAUCAGUAGCCGGCCUGAGAGGGUGGACGGCCACAUUGGGACUGAGACACGGCCCAGACUCCUACGGGAGGCAGCAGUGGGGAAUAUUGCACAAUGGGGGAAACCCUGAUGCAGCGACGCCGCGUGAGCGAUGAAGUAUUUCGGUAUGUAAAGCUCUAUCAGCAGGGAAGAAAAUGACGGUACCUGACUAAGAAGCCCCGGCUAACUACGUGCCAGCAGCCGCGGUAAUACGUAGGGGGCAAGCGUUAUCCGGAUUUACUGGGUGUAAAGGGAGC
rnacentral:rRNA from 1 species